rnacentral:rRNA from 1 species
UACAGAGGUCUCAAGCGUUGUUCGGAUUCAUUGGGCGUAAAGGGUGCGUAGGUGGCGCUGUAAGUCGGGUGUGAAAUUUCGGAGCUUAACUCCGAAACUGCAUUCGAUACUGCGCGGCUAGAGUGCUGGAGGGGAGACUGGAAUUUACGGUGUAGCAGUGAAAUGCGUAGAUAUCGUAAGGAAGACCAGUGGCGAAGGCGAGUCUCUGGACAGCAACUGACGCUGAGGCACGAAGGCCAGGGGAGCAAACGGG